CCUACCCAUAGGACACCAGGCCGGCUUCGGCACUUAAUGCCCGCCAACGCCAGAGAUGGGCCUGACACUUAGGCAGCCUUGCAAAGUAGAGGACACACAGAAGUUCACAGAAAGGUGACUGAUACAACAACGUAGAGGACCCUGCAAUGUGGAGAGGCAUGAAACUGGAGGUCCAGUGCCGUGAGUUAACAAUCAAGACGUCCAUACAGGAGAUGCAUUGGUGGAUGGGUGAAGAGAUGAUAAAACGGAUAAUUCAGUGGUGAUCUUCAGAAGAAUUCCACAAAAAACCAAAUUAACAGAUGAAACAAUCUCAUAAGCCACUUGAAACUGAAUUUCUCUAGAACAAGAGUCUAUAAAAUUUUUUGAUCAAACACCCACUGGAAAAAUUUUUUAGCGUGGACACCCAGUAUUUGAAGUUCUUGGUAAAUUACUGUGAGUAAAGAUUUAACCAACCCCUUGUCCUUAUCUAUGAACAAACUUCACUUUGUGUUAACUUUAACUUGUCAUAGAAACCUUAUGAAGGCAGAGUGUUCAUUGUGGUAUAAAACAACAUUGGUUGUAGGCCAGGCGCGGUGGCUCACGCCUGUAAUCCCAACACUUUGGGAGGCCAAGACAGGUGGAUCACCUGAGGUCAGGAGUUCAAGACCAGCCUGGCCCACAUGGCAAAACCCCAUCCCUACUAAAAAUACAAAAAUUAGCUGGGUGUGGUGGCACAUGCAUGUAAUCCCAGCUACCUGGGAGGCUGAGGCACAAGAAUCACUUGAACUCAGGAGGUGGAGGUUGCAGUGAGCCGAGAUCACACCACUACACUCCAGCCUAGGUGACAAGAGUGAAACUCCAUCUCCAAAUAAAUAAAUAAAACAUUGCUCAUGGUAAAAAUGACCUCUGACAUGUAGACUGCCUCUGGCUUGAAAGUACUGAAUAAUCUUAAAACACCUAGUGGGAAGCCAUACCUUUAGCCUCUGUUACUGUCUUAACUGAAUGUGGGAAUCUAAAAGACAAACUCAGGGAACUGGUUUCCCGCCGGUCAAGGACUUCCAAGCCAAGCCCCCACCCAUAAUGGUUUGCUCCUGAAUUGCAUUUGGGCCAAAGAGUAGAGCUCUUCCAUGCCUGUACCGCAGUGAAGUGUGUUUCUUCUCCUCAGUCCUCCAAAGUGGAGCUGCUGCCAGGCGUGGCAUUAUAUGAGUGUCAGGGGUUAAACCUAAGAAGACUACCUAGUGAGCGCUGCAGUUUCAUACAUAUCCUACUGAAAAUCUUAAAAGCAAGCUUUGCUUUUUUGUAAAUAAAGCGAAUAUAGAAGUCUUUCUCGUCUCAGUAAUGAUGAACUGGAAAUUCUGUUCCCCUCCUCCAACAAAACAGAUUCUGUGGAAAACAUUUUUUGUUGUAUUGCUAGGUUUUAGGAAUAAUGUUUCCAAAGGAUCAAGAAGGAAGCAAAACGCUGGGCACAGUGG
rnacentral:lncRNA from 1 species